rnacentral:rRNA from 1 species
AUGCUCAGCCUUUACCCGAGGCUCUCGGCGAGCUCCCGCUACAGCGACGCCGACGCCGACGACGACGGAAACGACGACGUCUUCAGGUACCGGGCCUUCUACGGCAUCGCCGUCGCCUGCGUGGCCAUCCUCCUCUUCUGCGUGCUCGCCGCCACCGUCGGCCCCUGGAAGGCCGGCGCCUUCGCGGCAGCGGUCGCGUCGCUGCUGGUCGUCCUCGGCUGCUUCGCGCCCAGGACAUCAUGGGUUGGCCGGCGGACGGGGAGGCCGGUGAGUCCCGUGCUUGCUCUCACGGCACCCGGCCGGUGUGCGCGCGCGCACGUCGUGGACGCGCCGCCGGCGUUCGCGUACGUGUGCCCUCUGGAGGUAGACGACAGCGACGGCGAGCUGGCGGCCCCAAGCUGCGCGAUGUGUCCGGUCUGCCUGGAGGAUAUCCACGGCGGCGAAAUGGUGCGGCAGCUGCCGGCGUGCAGGCACCUGUUCCACGUGGAGUGCAUAGACAUGUGGCUGGACUCGCACAGGACGUGCCCAAUGUGCCGGUGUGUGAUCUCGCCGCCGCCACCGCCGAUGACAGCGAAAGCCUCCGAGCCGGAAGAGGCGCCUCAGUCGUCCGAUGAGGUGUUGCCACCGGUGUAG